rnacentral:lncRNA from 10 species
AAAUGCUAAUUUGGGAGUGGGGAAAGCUGAGAGCUAGCUUGAUCUGUGCUGCAGAGUUUUGACCACGCUUGGGAGCUGUGACUGCUUACUUCCAGAGUGGCCACACGAGGACAUAAGAGUGUGUUGUGAGCCGGCUGCUCAGAGGCCCUGGUCCUUGCUCAGCCCAGUGCAGCCGGGGCGGGCAUUAGGCGUGCUGAGCAGGCGGUAAAGCCGAUGGUCGUGCACUUGGCGCUUUUCGGGACGGGGUGCCUUAUGGACUACGGACUCCAGAAGACCUUUCCAGAUUCGUGGUUGAGCUGCAGCAGAGGGAGCUUGCCUUGAAGGACAAGAACAGCGCCGUCACCAGCAGCGCCCGGGGGCUGGAGAAGGCCAGGCAGCAGCUGCAGGAGGAGCUCCGGCAGGUCAGCGGCCAGCUGUUGGAGGAGAGGAAGAAGCGCGAGACCCACGAGGCGCUGGCCCGGAGGCUCCAGAAACGGGUCCUGCUGCUCACCAAG